UGAGCAUGGUUUGGUUUGGUAAUAGGUGAUAACAGGCUGGCUCAGAGAAUGAGACAUUUAUCUACAAAGUGGCUCUCUUGGUCCCUGAAAACCUGGAUGUGUGGACAUUUGUUUUGCCUACAUUUGGGAACAAUUCAACAAAUACUUAGGUGCUUACUGUGGGCCACACCCUGUGCUAGAUCCUUGAAGAUGUAAAGAAUUAGGAAAACAGCACCUGCCCUUGAGCUCACAUUCUACGGGGAGGAUGCAACAUAUACAUAAUUGAGUAAAUACAGAGUGUGUCUGUGCGUGAUAGAGGACUGGCCAGUUAGAGCCCAGACCUUAGGAACGUGUAGCAGCGUGUGCAUGGCAAUCCCCUGCGUGGACUUGGGAAUUUUAAGAUCGUGGAAGCCCUAACAACUGGAGGUGAUCAGCACAAAAUCUUGUGGCACCUGUGAGCUGCCACUGAAGGAAGUUACAACUUCUAGGGAACUUAUGGGGCCCCAUAAAACUACGCCUGAAACAUCGAAGGUGUGUUGCCUCUCAUCUCCUGUGUUAAUCUUUCCAGACAGCCUUGAAUUUCAAGUUGUUAUUCUCAAAGGCCAUGGGAUACUCUGGUGAACUUUAAAGACAAAUCCAGUGAGGAAUAAAAGAAGAAACUAUUUAAAGUUAGCUGUGGCUAUGUACCAAACUUGGUUCCAAAUAGAGCAGUACCAGUAACAAGAUAAAGGCCAAAAUGAAUCAAGACUGGACUGGUAAGAAUGACAAAACUCUGCUUUUUUUUGGAGGGGUGGGGAUGGACGGGAACCAAGAAGGGAUGGAUGGGACAAAUGGGACAAUAAACCCAAGAAUGAGAAAGAAAUACUCAACAUUUUUUUUUGUCUACUUUUCCUAAGGAAAAUUGUUUUCAGUUUUGGAAACAUUUUAUACAAGUAGUUAACAAAAAACUGUAGCCCCCAAAAUUGAGGAGAUCAUAAGAGCACCUAUUUGCUUCCAACAAAAAAACAGUUUUGUAGUUUCGGGAAGCUCUGAUUUGGAUCAAAGAAUAUGGCUUUGAAUCCUGGCUCUGGGACCUUGAGGUUGUGAACCAGUUUCCUCAUUUGCAAACUGAGGGAGUUUGGCUAAAUAACCUAAGGUUCCUUCUAGCUCUGCAUGUUUCCCAUGAUCUUAACUUGAACUUUUAUAUCCUACAGCACUGAGAACUUGUGGGUAUGAUGGCUGAACCACUAAACCGGUGAUACAGGCAAGUACUAUAUUCAUUUUCCAAAAAUGGAAAAAGAGGGGGCAGCUAAUUGGCACAGUAGAGAGAGCACUGGCCCUGGAGUCAGGAAGACCUGAGUUCAAAAUCUGACCUCAGACACAUGAUACUUAUUAGCUACCAACUGCCCCCCCCAUAAUAUUGAAAAACUAGUUUAUGACUAUUUAGGAAAGAAGCUGAUGAUCACUAACAGCCAGAAGGAACAGGACAGGUUUACCAAAAACAUGUCAUGCUUAAAAAAUACAUUCAUUGUUCACUUAUUCUUGUCUAUCCUCUUACAGAUAUUCCAUUCAUCUAUCUCUGCUUUUGGGGUGUGAGCUGGGCAGAGUCUCAUAAAGGUCUUUCUAGAUUUCAUUGUAUUCCUCGCAUAUGUAGUAAUGAUAUUGUAAUAUCCUAUUACAUUAAUGCAUUAAGAUCUGACUAUACUCUGUUGCUGGGCAAAUCUUAACAUAAAUAGCUACUAAGCAAGCUUGGUUGCUUAUAUCAAUGUAUCAUGUUAGGCUGCUAAUAAAAACAACAAAAAUGGUCACAAACCUCAUUCAUUACUUUUCCUGACAAUUUUACUAAGACGGGCACAUUAGGGGAAUGCAUGUUAAAUGCUGUCCAAUAUCUUGCUGAUAUCCAAGCAUAGCAAAGUAUCUUAUUUUUGAUGUAUAUAGAUUUAAAACACUUGAAUGACUGACCAACAAAAUAAUAACCAGUGGAUAGAAAAUGUAUCUCAAAGACAAGCUCUGGUGAGUAUCCUGGAGAUCUGUCCAUAUCCUAGUCCAGUUCAGCAUUUUAUAAGUUAGGACUUGAAGGCACAGAUGACAUCAAAACUACAAAGAUUGUCACUUGUGGUACCUAUUCUCAAAAAAUUUGUAAAGUUCAAAUGAAAGAAUAUAAAAUAUUUUACAAAUCUUAAAGUGCUAAAUAAAUGUCAGCUUAUUAUGGUUAGGAAUAAAAGCAAAGUUCCACCCUACCCUCCCAUCUAAGAACUCAACUGUCCAAGUAAAAGAAUGGGAGAAGAAUGGCUAGGGAGAUGCUAAGUGGAUCCCAGCUUCAAAGGCCACGUGGGGUUGCAUUAAUAGAAGCCAAACUAACAGUUAACAGUCCAUUACAUUCCAAUGUGGUCUGACCAGAAUAUUCUGGAAGGCUCUUUUUAAGGGACAUUAACUAAAAAGGCUAGGAAUACACGUGGGAGUAUAACCAGAAGGAUGAGAGGAUUUGAAACCAUGUCACAGAGGAUUAGGGAUGUAAAAGCCUAGAAUUGUGAAGGGAUUAAGGGCUGGUCUGUGAACAAAUGAUUUUGUUGUUCUGCUCUCUGGGACCAAGAAAUCUACAGAAAGAAAUUAUGCAAACAAAAAGUUACACUUAGAAAAAAAAAAAGGUUUCAGCUCUAAAGGGAAACAUGCUAGCUUGGCACAAGAUGACUUACAAUUGGAGCUACUACAAAGUAGACUGGGGCUAUUUCAAAAGAUAAGCUCACUCAACAGUGAGGGUCCAACCAUCUUUUACAGCACUGGUUUAAGCUCACUUACUUGUUCCUUAGUAAAUAUGUGAACUUAGCCAGUAUCUUCAUUCAUUCGUUUCAUUCUUAACCAGUCUUGAAAAGUCUAGUUUUUAUAUAAGGUUUCUCUAAUUAAGUAGGUAGCUUAUAAGCAGGUAGUAACUACACCCUCCUCCUGUCCUCUUUCCCUGCCUUGACUUCCUAAUUUCCAACUGUUCAAUUCAUUUUAGUUUUUUCAUAGCAAACAAUACUUCUGUUCUCUCAAGAUAAAAACAAUUAAAAUCAUAGAAGCAAAA